ensembl:lncRNA
CUAUUGGUGAGCAAGUGAUGUAAUAGUAAUUUUCUCCAUAUCUGUUCCUAUGAAGAAACAAUCAUCUACAUCUUAGCAUUUCGGUCGAUUGUCUUGACCAACUUGAAAACAAUGUAGAAUCUGAAAUAUUUCGCCCUCAAGCGAUAUUCCCAAUUGCGUGUGGAUUCCUAUUGCAUUGAUUACAGAAAUUCCCCGAACGGGUCAGCAUCAUAAAUCCCUCUGUUGCCAAAACUGCAUUGACUGCAAAUAGGAAAGAUGGGUUGAGAAAACAAACAUGAAUUAUUGCUAAAACUUGACUGAAGUUUAUCAGCAGUCAUUCUUGUCAUGUCAGGGUCAUUUUUUAAAUGGAUAACAGGCUGAGAAC